UACAGAGGGUGCGAGCGUUAAUCGGAAUUACUGGGCGUAAAGCGCGCGUAGACGGUUUUGUAAGUCAGAUGUGAAAUCCCUGGGCUCAACCUGGGAACUGCAUUUGAGACUGCAUGGCUAGAGUAUGGAAGAGGGAAGUGGAAUUUCCGGUGUAGCGGUGAAAUGCGUAGAUAUCGGAAGGAACAUCAGUGGCGAAAGCGGCUUCCUGGACCAGUACCGACGUUCAGGCACGAAAGCGUGGGGAGCAAACAGG
rnacentral:rRNA from 1 species